rnacentral:rRNA from 1 species
CAGCAGCCGCGGUAAUACGGAGGAUCCAAGCGUUAUCCGGAAUCAUUGGGUUUAAAGGGUUCGUAGGCGGUUUUGUAAGUCAGUGGUGAAAGUUUGCAGCUUAACUGUAAAAUUGCCAUUGAUACUGCAAGACUUGAAUGUUUGUGAAGUGGCUAGAAUAUGUAGUGUAGCGGUGAAAUGCUUAGAUAUUACAUGGAAUACCAAUUGCGAAGGCAGGUCACUAACAAAUGAUUGACGCUGAUGGACGAAAGCGUGGGGAGCGAACAGGAUUAGAUACCCUGGUAGUCCACGCCGUAAACGAUGGAUACUAGCUGUUUGGUUUUCGGACUGAGUGGCUAAGCGAAAGCGAUAAGUAUCCCACCUGGGGAGUACGUUCGCAAGAAUGAAACUCAAAGGAAUUGACGG